rnacentral:lncRNA from 1 species
UGAGCUAGAGCCUCAAAAUGUCUCCUUUGACCUCUGCCUCUGAAGACUAUAUCCAUGCAAUCUACUUGUUGCAUCGUGAUGGUCAGUAUCUAGAUAAAUUUAAGUAGAUAAUGGCAUUAAGUUUGUAAUGGUUAAUAAAGAAAAAUACCGAUUGAUUUUUUUUUUGAAAAGGGAAGAAAGAAAAAAAAUGGAUAGAUAAAAAAAUGGCAUUAAUAAAACAGGAAAUAUUCGCUAUGUUUUACGUCGAUAGCACGGCGACUCAGGAGUGUAAGUAAUCAUGGUGGUUCUUUCAAGGAUGAAUCCUCGGUCAAACUUUUAAUUAUCCUCGAUUUCCAUGGCCACUUAUCA